rnacentral:lncRNA from 1 species
UGAGCUUUUAUCGAGCGGAACAUCAAGCUGCUUAGCUCGUCGACACAAAACCAAAAAUUGAUAACAACUUUUAAAAGCCAAUAAUUGCAGAGGCAGGCUGGCAACGACUCCUUCUGCCUUCUGAGCAACAACGGUCAAUGUAGUGUUUGAAAAGGGUGGGUUUAUAGUACAACGCCUGCCUGUGGCUGGGGCUGGCUACGCAGUAUGCAUCCUCCUUUACUCGUCAAGUCUCAGCAGUGUACACAGUAUUCGUUUGGUGAGGGUUUGGGCACGACAAAGAGAGAGAGGCUUGCUUCUUCCUUUUUCCCUGAGAGUCCUCUCUCUAUGCACCUGUCAUGCAUUGCCGCCCUAUAUUUCCACCAGCUGUAACUCUCCUGCUCCAAUGCUUAUGAUACAUCCAUGUCUGUAGCCUUCUGACCCGCUAGUUAAGCUAUUGUUUAGCCUUUCUCUCUUUCUAUCUCGCAAGUCUCUUUCCUCUUAGCUGUCUAUCAGCGUGGUGCUUCCCUUUUAAUUUACUGUUCCGAGAAGUGGGUUUACUGCCUUUAUUGCUUUUUCAUCGAACUCCUUUUAACACGUUCGCUUCCUUCUUUGGUCCUUCCUCUAUAUAUUUUACUCAACUCCCUUCAUCCAAUUCUAUGGAGCCCCAAAACAUAACUACCAUCAUCUUUAUCCCCUUUUCUCAUUGUCCAUGCUAUUUGAGUUGUUUUGGAAACGAUAAUCCUAAUAGCACUUCUGUAUUGUUAUUAUUUUGAAACAUUUCACUUCAUUCAUCGUUUGCGUCUUUACACUAGGAAAAUGGAUCUCCUUUCUGAUCUGUUGAAAUGUAUUUCCUUUACUUCGGUUGUCUGUUUUCUUUCUACCAAUUCUGGACGAGUUAGGAGAUUAGAGAUCCAUAUCUGGUUGGUUCUUGUCUGUGUUUCUUUUGAUCUUUUCCAUCUUACUCCAGUGUCAAUAUAAAGAAAACAGUUAAGAGUAUAUCUACUUAUUACUUCUUCAGUGCAAGUAAAGUCUAGUAUGAUUUCUGAAUGAUUUCCUUGUUCUGGUUGGAUAAUUUGAGGCUUCCAUCUUUAGCUCAGUUGAAACUCGUAUUAUUUUUUGAUUUUAGCGGAUUUAACUGCAUUUUUGUUUUCUGAUUUGAGGUGGGGUUUUAUGUUUGGAAAAUAUGAUUUUAUUCAUGAAAGAGAUUCUCAUGUUCCUGUUAAUGUUAUUUCCCAUUUAUGUAUAUUGUCGAGGCUUGUGAGUUGAGUUGAUGUCGUGUGAGGAAGAAGAAAUUGUCCACAAGGGAAGCAGUGAAGCUGCCAGCAUGAUCUAGCUUUGGCUAGUUUGCAACGAAAGUAAAAUGAGAUAGUAGUAGUGAGCUAGCCCUAGCUAGGUCAUGCUAUGACAGCCUCAUUCCUUCCCAAUGUGGGGGACCCCAAUAGACCAAGAUUCUCAUCUUUUUUACACUGUUCAGUCACUUCUUGGAAUGUUUUGAACGAGACAGAAAACAAAGUCGAAGAAAUAAUAAAUCACUGUAAAGUAUAUUCCUUAUCUUUUGCAUCUCCUUCCAUGGUGUUGUCUGGCAUGCGCUUACUUGCUUUCAACUGUUUUUAUUCUCACCACUGUGUUGUAUCAGUUGGUCCAAUGUUCGUCAAUUUGUGUGUUUACUUCGGUUUCUGAAGGAAAUAUCAAAUAGUGGAGUGGAUAUUAUCGCAGGAAUUAAGAAGCCAGUGAUAGAAACCAAACCAAUGGAAGCAGGAUACAAAUAGGAUCCCAAGGAGUGAAGUCUGUUCUAUCUGCUCGUUAACUUUGCUGAAGGAAGUUCCUCUCAGUUUCACCAUUUUGCACAGUCGUAGUAGGUGGUUGUUUAUUUGCUGAAGAACUGGUAAUUCUUUGCACCUUUUUAGCAGUUAGUUAUAGAUAAAACAAAUUGUAUAUAGACAUUACAGUUUGUACAUAAAUCUAGUGACCAAUCUGGUUAUGUGACUUCUUCUGCCAUUUCCCUAAUAUAUGAGGAUGUACCACCAAUAAGGUUGAUUCGUAUUUGGUGAACGUACACUCGGUCUACCAAUAUCCCUGAUUUUUAAUGCCUUUUUUAUUUUCCCGAAAAUAAUUUAAUUUGAAAAAAGAAAAUGCUUAAUUAUCACUUGACUUAAUUUCAAUUAGUAUUAGGUCAUGUUUAAUUUUAGCUUUUCAUUUUAAUAUUUGGUGUUGGUUUUUUCAUGUUUGAACAUCUAGAUAUUAACAUCCCACUUACAAAUCAUUUUAAUAUUUUUAUGUGAAUUUACGAAUUGAU